rnacentral:rRNA from 1 species
CCAAACUGUUGCCUCGGCGGGAUCUCUGCCCCGGGUGCGUCGCAGCCCCGGACCAAGGCGCCCGCCGGAGGACCAACCAAAACUCUUAUUGUAUACCCCCUCGCGGGUUUUUUUAUAAUCUGAGCCUUCUCGGCGCCUCUCGUAGGCGUUUCGAAAAUGAAUCAAAACUUUCAACAACGGAUCUCUUGGUUCUGGCAUCGAUGAAGAACGCAGCGAAAUGCGAUAAGUAAUGUGAAUUGCAGAAUUCAGUGAAUCAUCGAAUCUUUGAACGCACAUUGCGCCCGCCAGUAUUCUGGCGGGCAUGCCUGUCCGAGCGUCAUUUCAACCCUCGAACCCCUCCGGGGGGUCGGCGUUGGGGAUCGGCCCUCCCUUAGCGGGUGGCCGUCUCCGAAAUACAGUGGCGGUCUCGCCGCAGCCUCUCCUGCGCAGUAGUUUGCACACUCGCAUCGGGAGCGCGGCGCGUCCACAGCCGUUAAACACCCAACUUCUGAAAUGUUGACCUCGGAUCAGGUAGGAAUACCCGCUGAACUUAAGCAUAUCAAUAAGCGGAGGAA